GAGGACAUUUUGUGUUGCCCAUGCAGUCUGCUUUAGUCAUCAGCCUCGUGUUUGUUGUCUCUGUCGCCGUUUUCUCAUUCUGAAUCUUCCUCUUCUUCCAAAUAUGGCUCAAACAUAUUAGGCUGUAAGUCACAUGCUUUCUCUAGAUCAACAAUAUCGCUUGGAAAAUCCACACUUAUGACCGGAGGAGCUAAAUGACAGCUUUAAUUAAAUGAAUUCAAUUAAUUAAAUAAAUUUAAAUAAUUCAUUUAAAGAGCAUUUCUUGUCAUCUGCGCUUUGCCAAAUUGUUGUAUAUAGUUGAAACGUCUCUAUAUACAGUGGGGCAAAUAAGUAUUUAGUCAACCACUAAUUGUGCAAGUUCUCCCACUUGAAAAUAUUAGAGACGCCUGUAAUUGUCAACAUGGGUAAACCUCAACAGUAGGAGACAGAAUGUGGAAAAAAAAAACAGAAAAUCACAUUGUUUUAUUUUUAAAGAAUUUAUUUGGAAAUCACGGUGGAAAAUAAGUAUUUGGUCUAUACCAAAAGUUCAUCUCAAUACUUUGUUUUGUACCCUUUGUUGGCAAUAACGGAGGCCAAACGUUUUCUGUACUUCUUCACAGGCUUUUCACACACUCUUUUGCACAAUUAGUAGUUGACUAAAUACUUAUUUGCCUUAUUAAUUCAAAUAAUAAUGCUAUUUAAGAUUUCAGUUUUGGUGUCAUUUACACUUUAAAGGGGAACUGAAGAGCUUUUCAGAUUUCGCUCGUGUUUUACUCAGUUGAAUUGUAUUAAAUGCGUCAUUCGCUCUCUCAAAAAGUCACAUAAAAGAAAAAAAAAAAAAAAUUGACCACGUAGUUUUUGAGUUAUGGCCAUAGCAACACCAUAGCAAUGAGGGACGCGCCGUCCUGCCGACCCCUACCUCGUGACGUAACUUCCAGGAAGCCUCGCCACCACUCUGAACACGGAAAUAUAGCACCACGCUAUCCUCGCCAUAUAUUGCAAACAUUUUCUGGGUUUUACUCGCGGGAUUCGUCAUGCCAUCUCGAUGUGUAGCGAUAUGAAUUACUCACAGGAAGACUCCAGACUCUAGGAGUGGUCAAAAAAAAACUUCUCCUGCAAAGCCACGACAGCUUUGAAAACCUACAACAAUGCAACCUUGGUUUUCCAAAGACGAAGCCAAACAUAAAAAAAUAAGUGGCGGAAACCCUCAACACGAUGAAAAAAGCGUUGCAAGUCAGUUGCCACCCAGUUUCCCAAAAUCAAGAGAGAGUGGGUCGAGUCAUAUGAUGACCGAAGUGAUGCGGUGUCCAGCGAUGACGACUGAAGAGAUCCUAUGAGGCCUGCCAGAUGCUGAAUUUCUUCCGUCUGCGACAUCAGAUGACGAUGAUUUAGGAGAAAUAAAUGUAGCAAAUUUUGAUGACAUGAAAUCAUAAACUAGUCAUAUAUACAGUACACAUUUUUUAAAAGAAAAAUCAAGUUACCUUCA